CUGCUCAUUUUAGCAGUACAUAUACUAAAAUUGAGACAAUUCAGAGAAGAUUAGCAUGGUCCCUGCAUAAGGAUGACAUGUAAACUUGUGAAGAUUUCCAUAUUUCU
ensembl:snRNA U6 U6 spliceosomal RNA